UAUUGAAUUUCUGUAGGAUUUUUUUGAGGGAUCUCUCCCAAUAUCUUACAUUUUUUAAUUUUUUUUUUUUUGGGGGGGUGCAGAGUAUUAAUUUUCUUUUUUUUUUCCACCCCCGGUAGUGGAUCUGCUGCGACAUCCGCUACCUGGACGUCAGCAUCCUGGGGAAGUUCGCGGUGGUGAUGGCCGACCCGCCCUGGGACAUCCACAUGGAGCUGCCCUACGGCACCCUCACCGACGACGAGAUGCGGCGCCUCAACAUCCCCGUCCUGCAGGACGAGGGCUUCCUCUUCCUCUGGGUGACCGGAAGGUGACAUGAUGGCGGGUCACCACUCUCCACCUCCCCACAGUGUCCCCCAAGUCCUCCCUGGUCACCACCUUCCACCACCUUCCAUCUUCUACCUUCCAUCAUCCACCAUCUUCCUCUUCCAUCUUCCAUCUUCCUCUUCCAUCUUCCUCUUCCAUCUUCCUCUUCCAUCUUCCUCUUCCAUCUUCCUCUUCCAUCUUCCACCAUCUUCUACCUUCCAUCUUCCUACCUUCCAUCUUCUACCUUCCAUCAUCCACCAUCUUCCUCUUCCAUCUUCCUCUUCCAUCUUCCACCAUCUUCUACCUUCCAUCUUCUACCUUCCAUCAUCCACCAUCUUCCUCUUCCAUCUUCCACCAUCUUCCACCAUCUUCCACCAUCUUCCUCUGGGUGACCGGAAGGUGACAUGAUGGCGGGUCACCACUCUCCACCUCCCCUCAGUGUCUCCCAAGUCCUCCAUCUUCCACCUCCAUCUUCCACCUCCAUCUUCCACCUCCAUCUUCCACCUCCAUCUUCCACCAUCAUCUUCCACCAUCAUCUUCCACCAUCUUCCACCAUCUUCCACCAUCUUCCUCCACCAUCUUCCUCCACCAUCUUCCUCCACCAUCUUCCUCCACCAUCUUCCUCCCCCAUCUUCCUCCAUCUUCCUCCAUCUUCCUCCAUCUUCCUCCAUCUUCCUCCAUCUUCCUCCAUCUUCCUCCAUCUUCCUCCAUCUUCCUCCAUCUUCCACCAUCUUCCACCAUCUUCCACCAUCUUCCACCAUCUUCCACCACCAUCUUCCACCAUCUUCCUCCACCUUCCUCCAUCUUCCUCCACUUUCCACCAUCUUCCUCCACCAUCUUCCACCACCUUCUUCCACCUUCCUCCAUGUUCUUCCCCCAAAAACC
rnacentral:lncRNA from 1 species